AGGAAAAGGAACCAACAGGGAUUGCCCCAGUAACGGCGAGUGAAGCGGCAACAGCUCAAAUUUGAAAUCUGGCCCCCCGGCCCGAGUUGUAAUUUGGAGAGGAUGCUUCUGGCGCGGCGCCGUCCGAGUUCCUUGGAACAGGACGCCACAGAGGGUGAGAGCCCCGUACGGACGGACGCCUAGCCUCUACGAAGCUCCUUCGACGAGUCGAGUAGUUUGGGAAUGCUGCUCAAAAUGGGAGGUAAAUUUCUUCUAAAGCUAAAUACCGGCCAGAGACCGAUAGCGCACAAGUAGAGUGAUCGAAAGAUGAAAAGCACUUUGAAAAGAGGGUUAAAAAGUACGUGAAAUUGUUGAAAGGGAAGCGCCUGUGACCAGACUUGCGCCCCGCGGACCACCCGGCGUUCUCGCCGGUGCACUCUGCGGUGCGCAGGCCAGCAUCGGUUCUCCCAGGGGGACAAAGGCCGCGGGAACGUAGCUCCUUCGGGAGUGUUAUAGCCCGCGGCGGCAUGCCCCUGGGGGGACCGAGGACCGCGCUUCGGCAAGGAUGCUGGCGUAAUGGUCACCAGCGACCCGUCU
rnacentral:rRNA from 1 species